rnacentral:rRNA from 1 species
UACGAAGGGGGCUAGCGUUGCUCGGAAUCACUGGGCGUAAAGGGUGCGUAGGCGGGCCUUUAAGUCAGGGGUGAAAUCCUGGAGCUCAACUCCAGAACUGCCUUUGAUACUGAAGAUCUUGAGUUCGGGAGAGGUGAGUGGAACUGCGAGUGUAGAGGUGAAAUUCGUAGAUAUUCGCAAGAACACCAGUGGCGAAGGCGGCUCACUGGCCCGGUACUGACGCUGAGGUGCGAAAGCGUGAGGAGCAAACAGG